AGUGAACGCUGGCGGUAGGCCUAACACAUGCAAGUCGAACGGCAGCACAGGAGAGCUUGCUCUCUGGGUGGCGAGUGGCGGACGGGUGAGGAAUACAUCGGAAUCUAUCUUUUCGUGGGGGAUAACGUAGGGAAACUUACGCUAAUACCGCAUACGACCUACGGGUGAAAGUGGGGGACAGCAAGGCCUCACGCGAUUAGAUGAGCCUAUGUCCGAUUAGCUAGUUGGCGGGGUAAUGGCCCACCAAGGAGAAGAUCGGUAGCUGGUCCGAGAGGAUGAUCAGCCACACUGGAACUGAGACACGGUCCAGACUCCUACGGGAGGCAGCAGUGGGGAAUAUUGGACAAUGGGCGCAAGCCUGAUCCAGCCAUACCGCGUGGGUGAAGAAGGCCUUCGGGUUGUAAAGCCCUUUUGUUGGGAAAGAAAUCCUGUCGAUUAAUACUCGGUGGGGAUGACGGUACCCAAAGAAUAAGCACCGGCUAACUUCGUGCCAGCCGCCGCCGUAAAAC
rnacentral:rRNA from 1 species